GCGCGAAACCUUUACAAUGCACGCAAGUGUGAUAAGGGAAUCCCAAGUGCUUAUGCUAAGCAUAGGCUUUUGCCAAGAGUAAAUAUCUUGGCGAAUAAGUGAUGGGUAAGACUGGUGCCAGCAGCCGCGGUAACACCAGCGUCACGAGUGGCAACCGUAUUUAUUGGGUCUAAAGCGUCCGUAGCCUGUUUGAUAAGUCUUUUGUGAAAUCGUUGCGCUUAACGUAACGCUGUGCAAGAGAUACUGUCAGACUUGGAAUUGGGAAGAGUCAGAGGUAUUCCUGGGGGAGCGGUAAAAUGCUAUAAUCCUAGGAGGACCACCAGUGGCGAAAGCGUCUGACUAGAACAACUUCGACGGUGAGGGACGAAAGCCAGGGGAGCAAAACGGAUUAGAUACCCGAGUAGUCCUGGCCAUAAACGCUGUGAGCAAGGUGUCACGUAUCCUUCGUGGAUGCGUGGUGUCGAAGAGAAGUCGUUAAGCUCACCACCUGGGAAGUAUGGUCGCAAGGCUGAAACUUAAAGGAAUUGG
rnacentral:rRNA from 1 species